CCAAACACAUGCUGGGGCAUAGCAGGCAAAGGGUAGGAUGACUAAGCAGUCGCCUGCAAGAAUAUCAGUGUCUUCUCACAGGCAGAAGCCCCAGGGAGGAUAGCUUAUAUGGUCAAGAGAACAGCAGGAAGGAUAGUAGAAGUUUACAGAUGUCACCAAGUAGGCUCCACAUAUAUGCUAACUAUAAGAUGAGCUAGCCUAAAAUCAGCAAGAGAUAAGAAAGCUGGCUCAGGGACAGGGUGAUGUAGAAAUAACUGGAAAGAUAGGAGUAGGAAUAAGUGAGUGGAUACAUGGUAAUCGCUCCAAUUCAUAGCCAUGACUAGAAGCUUUGGAUACAAAAGACCCAAUUCAAACUAGCUUCCUUAAUUGGGACCAAAGGUAAGCUGGGGUUAGAACUGAUUGAACGAACAGGCAACGUCAGCUCUAUUUGCCUUCCAUUCUUUUGCCUUUCUCCUUGUCUAGAUGACUGAUUGUGAGAGAAAGAUGACAGCAACUGCUUUGGUCUCCAUCUGCAAGGGGUAAGAUCUUCAGGGAAAAAGACAAAAGCAAUUGCUACAAGUGUCUCUUUGACUUCCAUCACGUGUCCGAAUGCAAUUGCUGAUAGAGCCUCCUUUCAUUUUCUGGUCAACAGAGCUCAUCUCUAGACGUGGUGUUUGCUUUCUGUAAGGUCCCCUCUGGCUGAUGGGAACUCUACCACCCCAAAACACAGUGAUUUGCUUAAAAGGCAUCAUGUCGCCAAGCAUGACCACCACACAACUUCCAACUCCAUCCUCUCUCUCUCCAGCCAAACAACCUAUUUAUUUCCAGAGUCAACCUGUUUUCUUGAGUUCCUGCUCUGAGACCAUUUGUGGUCCAGCCAUAGGUCGUGACGAAUCACUCACAUAGAAUAAUAUGGCUAUAAGAACUCAUUCGUAAAUGUGAGUAGUGGGUCAUUUACCAGAGAAAAACAGUCAGUGCCAACUUGGCAUGUGUCCCCAACACAUGGUACUACUGAAGCCUGUGCUAAGUUAAUAUUGUACAUGACUGGUACCACAGGGGUAUGAGCCUCUCUGCAAAAAAUGCACGCCAUGGAGACUACUUUUUUUUCUUUUUCUUUUUUUCGGAGCUGGGGACCGAACCCAGGGCCUUGCGCUUCCUAGGCAAGCACUCUACCACUGAGCUAAAUCCCCAACCCCAAGACUAUUUUAAUCAUAAAAUUGCUUUUAAAGGAAAAAGAAAU
rnacentral:lncRNA from 1 species